GUUUUUUCUUUUCUUUGAGUUUUUGCUUUAAUGGCGGAAAAGCUUCAAAUAGUUGAGGUUCUAUAUUGUGGAGUUUGCGGUUUACCUGCUGAGUAUUGUGAAUUCGGAUCCGAAUUUGAGAAAUGCAAACCCUGGUUGAUCCAAAAUGCACCCGAUCUCUACCCGGACCUUGUUAAAGAUUCUAAUUUGAAAGAAGCUGAUAAGGUCACUGAUCAGCUCCAGUCGACUUCAAUCUCGGAAGGUUCUUCUACAUCUAAGAAAGAAGAAGUCAAGCGCCUUCCUGGUGGAAAGAUUAAAAAGAAAGAUAAACAGGAGAUAAUUAUUGAAAAGGUCACCAGAAACAGACGAAAGAGUAUCACUACCAUCAAGGGCCUUGAAAUCUUU
rnacentral:misc_RNA from 1 species